CUUUACUGUAGCCUGGAAUUGGGUUCGGGCUUUGCUUGCGCAGGAUAGGUGGGAGGCCGAGAGACAUUCCUUGCGGGGGAUGAGGAGCCGACGGUGAGAUACCACUCUAGUGAGGCUAGAAUUCUAACCUUUACCCGUGAUCCGGGAGAGGAACAGUUUCAGGUGGGCAGUUUGACUGGGGCGGUCGCCUCCUAAAUUGUAACGGAGGCGCGCAAAGGUUCUCUCAGGCUGGUUGGAAAUCAGCCAUAGAGUGUAAAGGCAUAAGAGGGCUUGACUGCGAGACGUACAUGUCGAGCAGGGUGGAAACACGGCCUUAGUGAUCCGACGGCGCUGAGUGGAAGGGCCGUCGCUAAACGGAUAAAAGUUA
rnacentral:rRNA from 1 species